GAUGAACGCUGGCGGCGUGCUUUACACAUGCAAGUCGAACGGUAACAGGGAGCUUGCUCCGCUGACGAGUGGCGAACGGGUGAGUAAUGCGUCGGAACGUGCCGAGUAGUGGGGGAUAACGCAGCGAAAGUUGUGCUAAUACCGCAUACGUACUGAGGUAGAAAGUGGGGGACCUUCGGGCCUCACGCUAUUCGAGCGGCCGACGUCUGAUUAGCUAGUAGGUGAGGUAAAGGCUCACCUAGGCGACGAUCAGUAGCGGGUCUGAGAGGAUGAUCCGCCACACUGGGACUGAGACACGGCCCAGACUCCUACGGGAGGCAGCAGUGGGGAAUUUUGGACAAUGGGCGAAAGCCUGAUCCAGCCAUGCCGCGUGUCUGAAGAAGGCCUUCGGGUUGUAAAGGACUUUUGUCGGGGAGGAAAUCCCCAGCGUUAAUACCGCUGGGGGAUGACAGUACCUGAAGAAUAAGCACCGGCUAACUACGUGCCAGCCGCCGCGGUAA
rnacentral:rRNA from 1 species